GUCACCUCACUCUCGGCUCUGACCCCAUCCCUCAUACAGUGUGACUCCUUAGGUUCAGCAUUCAUGGCAUUAGGGAAGGCCUUGCCUAAUGUGGUUCCACCUGAAGCACUCGGCCCACUGCGGGAGGAGGUUCGUGCAUACCAAAUAGAUGCUGACCUGGUACCUCUGGCCAAUACCUAUGUUGAAGAAAACAGCCGAGUGGAUGUGGACUGGUGGAGUCAGGUGGCACUUCUAAGAAAUUCAGAAAGAGUGAGGCCAUGAGGGUGAGGUCUACAGCGGUGGCAAACAGAAUAGUGACCCAGGCGAAGAAAUCAAAAGGGCCAUCCUCUUCCUCCACUAGGCCAGCUGCCUCACCUAGACCAACCAGACCUUCACCAAAGACCAUCUCCUCUGCAAAAACAAGACCUUUUCGACCCACUGGGCCCUCCACCACCUCCUCUGGGGCAGCUAAAAAGCCAUCCAGCUCCUCCUCUGGGCCCUCUGCCUCCUCGUCUGGGGCAACUAAUAAGCCUUCCGCCUCCUCAUCUGGGCCCUCUGCCUCCUCAUCUGGGCCCUCUGCCUCCUCAUCUGGGCCCUCUGCCUUCUCAUCUGGGCCCUCUGCUUCCUCAUCUGGGCCCUCUGCCUCCUCCUCUGGGCCAUCCACUGCAUCCUCUGGGCAACCAAAGUUAUUUUCUCUGUUUCAUGGUCCAGCCAAGAAAUCCUCUUCAAUAGCCUCAACUACCUCUGGAAAAAGGAAGAGUUCGGAUGACUCAGAACCCGGAAAAAAGAGGAAAAAAUAGAGCACUUUGUUUCAUUUUUUGAAUCUAGUUUUGAUAACUUAAACCCCACUAAAAAGUACUUUGGAGAUACAAAUGCACUUUGUUUAUUUCUUUCUAUUUGAUUUAAGUUAUCAUUUCAUGUAGGAGUUAAUGUUUUUGAUUACUUGUUUUGAUAUUACUUGAUAUAACUUUCUAUUGGUUUUAUUAACAUCUGUGUAUUUAAUUUGCCAUUUUAUUUCUGAUGAACAAAGUUCAAAGUUAUUGAAAUGUUGAAAUUGUUGAAUUAUUUGAUUUAUUAAAACUGUUUGAAAAGUAAA